GACGAACGCUGGCGGCGCGCCUUACGCAUGCAAGUCGCACGGACCUUCGGGUUAGUGGCGGACGGCUGAGUAACGCGUAGGUAACCUGUCCAGUAGUGGGGGACAACUCGCCGAAAGGCGAGCUAAUACCGCAUGUGAUCGGCCGGUGAAACCCGGCCGAGGAAAGCAGCAAUGCGCUACUGGAGGGGCCUGCGUCCUAUCAGGUAGUUGGUGGGGUAACGGCCUACCAAGCCUGUGACGGGUAGCUGGUCUGAGAGGACGACCAGCCAGAAGGGGACUGAGACACGGCCCCUACUCCUACGGGAGGCAGCAGCGAGGAAUCUUGGGCAAUGGGCGAAAGCCUGACCCAGCGACGCCGCGUGGAGGAUGAAGGCCUUCGGGUCGUAAACUCCUUUUGUGAGGGAAGAAGUUCUGACGGUACCUCACGAAUAAGCCACGGCUAACUACGUGCCAGCAGCCGCGGUAAUACGUAGGUGGCAAGCGUUGUCCGGAUUUACUGGGCGUAAAGGGCUUGUAGGCGGUUCGGUUG
rnacentral:rRNA from 1 species